rnacentral:rRNA from 1 species
UACAGAGGGUGCAAGCGUUAAUCGGAAUUACUGGGCGUAAAGCGUGCGUAGACGGUCAUGUAAGUCGGGUGUGAAAGCCCCGGGCUCAACCUGGGAAUUGCAUUCGAGACUGCAUGGCUAGGGUGCGGAAGAGGGAAGCGGAAUUUCCGGUGUAGCGGUGAAAUGCGCAGAUAUCGGGAGGAACACCGAUGGCGAAGGCAGCACUCUGGGCCGGCACUGACGCUGAGGAGCGAAAGCGUGGGGAGCGAACAGG